GACGAACGCUGGCGGCGUGCCUAAUACAUGCAAGUCGAACGCAUUUUCUUUCACCGUAGCUUGCUACACCGACAGACAAUGAGUGGCGAACGGGUGAGUAACCCGUGGUUGACCUGCCCAUCAGCGGGGGAUAACACUUGGAAACAGGUGCUAAUACCGCAUAAUUCCAUUUACUGCAUGGUAGAUGGAUGAAAGGCGCUUUUGCGUCCCUGAUGGCUGGACCCUCGGUGCUUUAGCUAGUUGGUGGGGUCACGGCCUACCAUGGCUGCGAUGCAUAGCCGACCUGAGAGGGUGAUCGGCCACACUGGGACUGAGACACGGCCCAGACCUCUACGGGAGGCAGCAGGAGGGAAUCUUCGGCAAUGGACGCAAGUCUGACCGAGCAACGCCGCGUGAGUGAAGAAGGUUGUCGGAUCGUAAAACUCUGUUGUUAGAAAAGAACAAGGAUGGGAGUGGAAAGUUCAUCCCUUGACGGUAUCUAACCAGAAAGCCACGGCUAACUACGUG
rnacentral:rRNA from 1 species